GUUUAGGAAACAAACCUUCUAUUCUAUCAUGAAUGAUUCUUGAGAUCAUUUUGUUCAAGAAAUCACUCAAACUAAUUGGUCUUAAAUCAAAACAAGUUUGAAUAAUAUCUUUUUUAGGGAAUAAACCAUAUUAGCGUGUGUAAUGACUUUAGGCAGAGUUUUGCCUUCAAAGAAGGCAUGAACAACCCCAACUAUAUCCUGACCCACAAUGUUCCAACAAGAUUGAUAGAAACGACAAGGGAAUCCAUCUGGCCCACAGACACAAUCAGCAUUUAAUGUAAACACCACCUUUUUUAUCUCUUCUUCAGCAGGUAACCUAUUAAAAAAUAAUUAUCUCCAUUAGUGAUUUUAGCAGAAAUAUGUUGUACCAGUAAAUAAUCAGUGUUGCUUUGAUCUCCUAAAAAUUGAUUUUGAAAGAAUCUAACAACCUCCUCAAUUAGUUGUUCUUCCAAUUUUGCCCAGUUUCCGUCACUUCUCUAAAUCCUUUUCGGUGUUAGCCUCUUUCUUCUUCCGUUCAUAAGACAAUGAAAGAAUUUUGAAUUUUUGUCACCCUUUGUGAAUCAUUGAAUACUAGCUUUUUUCCUCAAAAAUGCUUCUUCACAGUGUAACUAUUUUUUAAUUUCUGCAUGAGCUUUUAGCAAAAUAAUCCUGUUAGUUGUUAUGGGGAACUCCUCAAAUAGAUCUUCUUUUAUUCUCAGUAUUUCCUCUCUAAUAAUAAGAUAUUUGAAGAUAUCUCCAAAUUUUAUUUACUUCCCUUAGAAUGAGCUUGUUUUGUCUUCUUCUACUUCUAUUUCAACUAAUAAAACACGUCACCUAUCUCUACUGCCACCCAGUUCAGUUUUAUCACAUCUAAAAAUAUCAUCUUUAUCAUUCAAGAACCUGAGAAAUCUGAAUAGUUUGACAAACUAUUGGCUUUAAGUACCAUAAGUGAUCAAUAAAGGAGCAUGGUCAGACCCAAUCCUAGCUAAAUGUUGUAAAUCAGUAUUACCAAACACAUCUUGAAAAUUAUAAUUUACCACUACUUUGUCUAAUCUCUUGAAAAUGCAAGCUUCAUCAGCUCUUCUAUUCCACCAAGUAAAAGGACUAACAGUGAAAGGAACAUCAAAUAAUUCACAAGAAUUAAUGCAAAAUCCUCAUAUUCUUGUGGGUACACAGGUUCAGCUUUAGGUAUUGCAUUGUUACAUGUAUUAUUCUGAAGUACUUUAUGAGACAUUAUCUCCUGCAACUCACGCAUCGAGGAUGAAUUGAAUGCCUUUGUUGUCAGAGAUAAUGAUAACUCAGAGCUUUCACCUCUAUCCAAUGGCUUUUUUUUCACCUAAGAUCAUUUAAAAUAGUUCAUGAUAUCUAGCUUCAACUAAUUCCUUCAUCUACAAGAGUUCUUAAUCCACUUCAUGGCUAACCAAAGAUACAUCAUCCAUAAUCUAUUGAUUUUUGUUUGAAGAUGUGGUUCUUGGAAACUCUAUCAAGUUACAUUUGUUACCCCUAGUGUGAUGCUCCUUCAUUAUACCUUUUUGAUUAUCAUUCUUCAGUUUGUCAUUUGAAUUAGACAAUGCUAAAGCUAGUUGUUGAUCUUUCUGUUGGGACUUACCUUGUUGAUAUUCUUGUUCAUUUUGUGGAGCAAAUUCAUAUUCCGCUUCUUCCUUAUUUUGAUAAGUUUCUACUGUGCUGAAUUCUUUUAUAUGAUGAUUGGCAAAUGCCUUGAGGAU